GGGCGAGCCUGAUGCAGCAACGCCGCGUGAGGGAUGACGGCCUUCGGGUUGUAAACCUCUUUUAGUAGGGAAGAAGCGAAAGUGACGGUACCUGCAGAAAAAGCACCGGCUAACUACGUGCCAGCAGCCGCGGUAAUACGUAGGGUGCAAGCGUUGUCCGGAAUUAUUGGGCGUAAAGAGCUCGUAGGCGGUUUGUCGCGUCUGCUGUGAAAUCCCGAGGCUCAACCUCGGGCUUGCAGUGGGUACGGGCAGACUAGAGUGCGGUAGGGGAGAUUGGAAUUCCUGGUGUAGCGGUGGAAUGCGCAGAUAUCAGGAGGAACACCGAUGGCGAAGGCAGAUCUCUGGGCCGUAACUGACGCUGAGGAGCGAAAGCGUGGGGAGCGAACAGGAUUAGAUACCCUGGUAGUCCACGCCGUAAACGUUGGGCGCUAGAUGUAGGGACCUUUCCACGGUUUCUGUGUCGUAGCUAACGCAUUAAGCGCCCCGCCUGGGGAGUACGGCCGCAAGGCUAAAACUCAAAUGAUUUUGACGGGG
rnacentral:rRNA from 1 species